GCUGCCUGGGCGCAAGGCGCGGGGGGCUGUGGGAGCCUGAGAAUAGUUUGGAUUCAUGAGGUACUCUCAAAUCUACACUAGUGUUAUAAUAUGCAUCUGAUAUGAGUAUCCAGCUAACUUGAGUUGCAAUACUACAAUGUAACAUUUACUGAUUUUCAUGAGACAAGCAGAAGUUCUAAUCCUCUCUGGUACUAGCUGGGCCCUGGAACUCUCUGAUGUCAUCAAUAGGUCACAGAACACUGCUGAGACCUCAGUAAUAACUGGUACCCCACCAACCAUGGUACGAUACUGAGCAUUACAGAGGACAGUGAUCUGGUAAUAGAUAGCGUCUUAGGUGAUUUGUUGUUUGUGGAUGUAUAAAUUUCAUUCCUUAACAUCAUUAACAAUUCUCUGAGAGCAGUCUCAGAAUCUUACUUGAUAUUAGUAGUCCUCUGAAGAAUUGAACUAUGAAGCACAAAAAGAAGAAGAAACACCUGGAGGAGAAAUUCUUACAGCAGCCUGGAAAAAAGUCAAAAUAUAAAAAAGGUCUUGAAUCAUCUAAGAUGCUUCUAAGUCAAGAUUUGAUGGAGAUGGGGAAUUCCUCCUUCGUGCCACAUUCUCACAUCCCUUCCUCCUCAGCCCAUAACCCCUCUGUGUCUGCAGCAUCUACUGAGAAGAAAAGAAUAAUGAAUGUUUAUUACAAGCCUGUCCCAAUGAAAAGGGGUGUGGCAGCUUUGGAGGAUACAGAAGAUUUGCAGCCCCCUGCAAAGAUGAUAAGAAUAGGAAAAGUGACCUGUUCUGAGAGGAUCACUUCAAAAGCCAGCCUCCCUUACAUGCCCCUAGCAGGUAUCCUAAAGGAUGGUAAGGACAGUUUGGAUAUUGAAUGGCAAGAGGAAAGGGGAAAGCCUGAGGAGCAGCCUGAGGAUCUGGCCCAGGACUCAGGUCCCAGUGCCAAAACACCUGCAAAGCUGGAGGAAUUGUAUAGUGGCUUUAGGUGCAUGGGAUGCUGCCAGGUGUUCCCCAAUUUGCAGAUGCUCAAGAAACACCUGCAGCAUGGGGCUGAGGAGGGUAUUUCCUGUCUUGAUCUUGCAUUUGCCAAACUGAGGAACAAAAGCAAGAUAAGCAAGAUGUCAAGGAGGAAGAACAAAAAUAUCACAACAGCCUGUAAUGAUAUGGAGAUCCUUUUGUGGUUCUUGUUAUUUUUGGUUUUUUGUACCUUUUUGGUUUAUUAUUAUAAUACAUAGAAACUAAAUCAUUCUCCUGUUUCUGUCAAUAAUAAAUGCGAGGCCCUAACCGAAGAGGGUACCAGAAAGCCUUUUCAUCCACAAAAUAGCAGAAAGCGUCAGCACCUCACAUCAUCAACUUUUGGUUAAUUUUUUCUUCCUGUCUCUAUGUUCUCUCACCCACUUCACUGUGCUGCUUCCAGAACGGGACUCCAAGUUUAUUUUUUGUCAUAUUAUUCAUUCUUAUUUGUACAUGUAGGCAGCAUAUGAAGUUCCCAUUCUUUGUUCGGAAUUGGUGCAUGUACACAGCACGUCUCAGUUCCUGUCCCCUUUUCCACCCUUCCCUCCCUGCGCUCUCCAUCUUUUGAUGUCUUUCACUUUCUAGAAAUAUCAACCUGCCUACAUCCUAUCGUCUACUUUUAUUUUGCUCUUUAUUUAUUCUUUGGGUUUCUCACACAUAAGAAACCAUGCAGCAUUUAAGCUUGUGUGUCUGAUUUAUUUCACUUACCGUUAUGAUCGCAAGCUUCAUCCAUUUUGUAGAAAUGAUUCACGGAAAUGAGAGAAUAGUAUUCCAUUGUAUUUGCAAACCACAUUUUCUUCUUUUCUGUGCUGAAAUACUAAUUUAUUUAUUUAUCUUUUAGAUUUUAUUUUAGUUUAUGUACAACUUAUAUAUAUGUAAUGGUCACAUUCAUUAUGUGGAAUAUGUGGUUGUACAUUAUAUGUCUUGAUUGUUUUUUAAUUUUCCCAAUUCCAUUCUCCUCUUUUCAGAAUCCCUUCCUCCCUGUUCAUGAAGCUGUUUGCUGUUUUUCUUUUUUUGGCACCAGGACCCAAACUCACAACCUCGCGCUUGCCAGGCAGAUGUUCUGCUGCUAUGCCAUAUCCCAGGCGCAGCUUUUUCAUUUUAUCCUUUUUUUUUUUUCUUCCAGUUUUUGGUCUUUUUUUCCUUCCUCUCCUUCUUAGUUCCAUUUUUUGUUUUGAAUAGUUUCUUCCUAUUUUACAGUAUCUACGGUACCUUUUGGCUGAUUUAUAAUUUCAGUUUCUCACACCAGAGAGAUUAUGUGAUAUUUACACCUGUGUCUGACUUAUUUCACUUAUGAUUAUGGUCUCAAGAGCCAUCCAUUUAGCUACAAAUGUCUCAAUUUUGUCCUCCUUUAUGGAUGAGCAUCACUCCAUUAUAUAAAAAGAACCACAUCUUUCUUUGUCCAUUCAUGGGUUGAUGGGCAUUUGGGUUGCUUCCAAGAUUUAGCUAUUAUAAUCCAUGCCACUAUAAACAUGGGUGCAAUGUAUUUUUUGGUAUGCUGUUUUUAAUUAUUUUUGGAAGAUACCCAGAAUAGGAAUAGCUGAAUCCAAUGGGACCUCUAAUCCUAGUUUUGUAGGGAAUCGCCACACUGAUUUCCACAGUGCUUCCACCAGCCUACACUCCCACCAACAGUAGAGAAGUGUUACUUUCUCCACAUAGUCCCCCAGCAUUUAUUAGCUGUGAUACAGAAUCUCAGUGUUGUAUUAACUUGCAUUUCUUGAAUGACCAGUGAUGCUGAGCAUCUUUUCACAUAUUUAUUUGCCAUUUGUACUACUUCUGAGAAGUACGUAUUCAUCUUAUAUGGCCAUUUUUGGAUUUGAUUUUUGAAUUGGGGGGUUGAUUUCUUUUUCAGCGUUUUUUUUUUUUUUUUACUAUGUUGUAGAUAUUAGUCCUUUAUCUGAAGAACAGUUUGCAAAAAUUUUUUUCCACUCUGUGGGUUGUCUUUGCACUGUUGGUGAUUUCUUUUGCUGUGCAAAGGUUUUUUAAUAUGGUGAAAUCCCAGUUAUGAUUUUUUUGUGAUAAUGCCUAUGCUAUUGAGGUAAAAUCCACAUUUUUAAAAUAUGUCCAUUAAUAGAUAUAUAGGCUGCUUCCAAAAUUUAUCUAUCAUAAAUUGUGCUGAUAUAAACAUGGGUAUGCAUGUAUCACUGUAUAUGAUGUAUUUAAUUUUUUUCAGGAAGACAUCUGGAAGAGGAAUAGCUAGCUGAGUCAAAUGGAAUAUCAAGUUUCAGUUUUUUCUUAGCAAUUUCCAUAUUGAUUUCUAUAGUUGUAAGAGUUUACAUUUCCACUAACAAUCUAUAGGGGUUCUAUUUUUCAGCAUCUAUGCCAGUAUUUUUUUUUUUAGCAUAUUGACAUAAUGCUUUAUUUAAGCUGUCUGUAUGAAGCAAAAUAAUGUGCAUCCCUAUUAUAUACGUGUAAAAAUACAUGCUUAUGAUGUACAGUGUACAAAAACAGUUUGUUGUAGUUAUUUCACAUCCUUGUUGGUCAUACACUUAAGGAAAGAAACAGUUCUAGUAUGACCAACAGUAACAGUAAUACAGUUUCUUGGGUUCAUAGUUGCAUUUGCUUAAAAUCCUUACCCAGAUGACUACAUCUUUUGGGGAUCUAAUGAAAGAAUUAGCAAGGUCAAGAAAUGUCACAGACUAUAAAGCUACAGAGAGGUAAUUCAAUUACCACUUUGGAGGUUUUCUUUUUAUUUAAAUAGAUACUUUACAGUUCAUGCUUGCCUGUAAUGCACUACCAGGAGCAAGAUAAGGAAGUUCUACUGUAGACAGUAGAAAUGGUAGCAGCAAGUGUGUUCACUGAGGUGUAGUAUAUAGACCCUGCAGUUAGUGAGGGAGGCCCUUACUUUUGUACUCUAGAAGAAGCAAGUGGCCCCGCAAGAACAGUCAGCUUUGAGAAUCUGAAAAUCCGGCUGGGAAAUGGAAAACAUACUGGAAUAAUGCUAUGUAAUUAGUGUAGAAAGCAAAGCUGUGAACAACCCUUGCCAACAAUCCAAGCACAAGUGGCCAAUUUCCUCCAUGAUGGCUGCCUUGGGACAAGAGGUCAGACUUCAUGACAGUACAAGUUGCAGUCUACAUAGUUGGAC
ensembl:lincRNA